ensembl:lncRNA
CCCAGAGUGACCUAAGCUCUCUGAAAUAACAAUCCCGUUGUCAAGUCCCAACGUGAAAGUCACAGUGAGGGUUGAAUGCAGAUAGCCCUCUGGCCAUACACAGAGCCUCUGGUGUGUUUAGAUUAAGCUGUUUUAUUUUCUUCAGGGAUGUUGUAUCAUCCUUCACUUCCGCUGUUUUUCCAGGGUCGCUCACUUCUGAGCUUCUGAGGCGUCAAAGCAAGGAGGCUGGACAAGCAACCACACCAGUGGGUCUCAGAGCACAGGAAAGACCCUUCUGCCAUGGAAGCACCACGCACCUCCCUGCAUAGACAAAGCGCUACAAAAGGGGACUCACAGACACUGCACAUGCAUAUGUGUGGCCUCGUCUGCAUGCUGGACAGACAGCUUGG